GAUGAACGCUGGCGGCGUGCCUAAUACAUGCAAGUCGAGCGAACGGACGAGAAGCUUGCUUCUCUGAUGUUAGCGGCGGACGGGUGAGUAACACGUGGAUAACCUACCUAUAAGACUGGGAUAACUUCGGGAAACCGGAGCUAAUACCGGAUAAUAUUUUGAACCGCAUGAUUCAAAAGUGAAAGACGGUCUUGCUGUCACUUAUAGAUGGAUCCGCGCUGCAUUAGCUAGUUGGUAAGGUAACGGCUUACCAAGGCAACGAUGCAUAGCCGACCUGAGAGGGUGAUCGGCCACACUGGAACUGAGACACGGUCCAGACUCCUACGGGAGGCAGCAGUGGGGAAUCUUCCGCAAUGGGCGAAAGCCUGACGGAGCAACGCCGCGUGAGUGAUGAAGGUCUUCGGAUCGUAAAACUCUGUUAUUAGGGAAGAACAUAUGUGUAAGUAACUGUGCACAUCUUGACGGUACCUAAUCAGAAAGCCACGGCUAACUACGUG
rnacentral:rRNA from 1 species